rnacentral:tRNA from 1 species
AAAAAUAUAGUUAAAUAUAACAUUUGAUUUGCAUUCAGAAAGUAUUAAUUUUUAUUAAUUAUUUUUU